AAAGGAGUGGGCGAAGAGUUGGAUUUCCAAGGAAAAGGAGAAAAAUGAAGGCAUGCUCCAACAAAUACUACAUCGGCUACAAGCCUAACCCUCUAGCUCUUCUAAGCCUUAGGUGUCCUGUCCGUAGUGUCCAGUCUAGUAUCCCGUUAGUCGCCAAGUUUAAGAAGUUUGCUUAUUAGUUCUGUUCUUAUUUUGCUCAU
rnacentral:lncRNA from 1 species